ensembl:lncRNA
AUAUAUACAUAAAAUACUUUUGAAGCAUUUUGAACGACGGUGUUGCGCUACAUGGUGCUUGUCCUCGAAUGAAUUCUACGUGUCCAAGUGACGCCCUAAAGACCUCGGGAUAAGCAUCAACGCUUUAAAAAUUUUUUUACACGUUUCAGUGAGUUUUAUGAGUACGUUUUCAUCCCUACGCAGUCGUCAGGCCUUUCUCGUCUUUCAGUUUGUUUAGCUCUGUUCGGUGUGGAAAUAAACACGGACGUGAACGGCGAGCGUGCGAACCCCCUCUCGCAGGUCUGAAGCGCUCUUAAAGCUUGCGGUGUGAUUGGUUUCACACUUCUUUGGGAGACAUAAAGGACUUUUUUUUUUUUUGAAAAUGAUACUCGUCUCCUGGUACUUGAAGACGUUUGUGCGAGACCCGAGGCGUAUCGUGGUAAAUCGGGUUGUGGUUGGUGGAGAAAGGGGCCGGUUCUUCGCUCGGUUCCUCGCGGACGAGCCGAGAGCGAGAUGCGUUCACGCUGCCGAGGUGAUGCGGGACGAGUUCUAGCAAAGCAAAUCCCGUUCCACGCGCGACGCGGGCUCGUGGUCGAGCGAGUAAGGAGGGCGCUCGGGGCGUGGUGUUGAUUUCCCAGGGUUUUUGGGGUCGAGUAAAGGGCACUCGAAGGUAAGCAUAGUAUUAGGCUGACUUCAUUAUUAAUACUGACUCUCCAGAUAAAGAGCUGCGCUUGGCACGCGAUGUCCCCGACAGACCCUCCCUCAGCAGCAGUGCGACACACACACACACAGUGUCGUCUGUCUCUCAGGUCCGCGGUGCCAGCCGAUUGGCUAACGAGGGAGGGGGCUGUACGUUAGCAGCCGUCCUGCGCAUCAUCUCCAUUGGCUUAGACGAGGAUGACCUCACCAAAGCCAGCUGUUGAUUUGGCUCGGCGUGUGUGUGUAUAUGCGAGAGAGGGAGAGAGAGAGAGCUGGUCGUCGUGGCGAUGGGUAGGGAGACAGACAGAGCCGAGGCGCGCUCCAACAAGCGCCUUCCAUCCGCCGCCGCUAUGGAAACGAGCGAUGUACGCCGCCGAGAGGAUGAGGCAGGGCGAUUAAUAUUCCUGACUGUUGGAAUCUUCACGCUCGCGUCUUAAUGGAAGGAUAAUUAAGGCGAAACUGCUUCAUCAGCUUUCUUUGCGUUUUGGCGAGGAGAAUAUAAAACGCCGCCUCGGGGUAAACAGGAGGAGUUCGGAGCGCGACGCCGGCCUCAUUAAUGUAAAUGAUCCCGAAUAUUGUUACUGCAGGAGGUCUGAUUCAGAAACACCAGGCUGCAGAUUGAGGUCCUGGGUAUGAUGAUGAUGAUGAUGAUGAUGAUGAUGGGGUUCUUCAUGAAUGGUGGUGUAGCCUUCAAACUUGAAGAAGUGACACACACACACACACACACACAAUAGGUCAUUAUGGUCUGGAUAUAUUCUACAAUAUUAGAUCUGACCUUUUUUCUCCUGUGGUAGCUAGGUAACAGUCGACGUUUCUGAAACUCAUCGUUUCAUUAAAUUGAAGUUAGUAAGGGAGAACUGAAUCAAUAACGACACGUCCGACACGUCCGCCACACGUCCUGCAGUCAGGUUAAAAAGGGAACCGAAGCUGAAGGGUUCUCCAUGAGCCGCGAUGGACGAUACGCGGAUUUUAGAACAUCGAGAACUGCACUGUGUAUUUGUUGAGCUAUUAUUAUUAUUAUUAUUAUUAUUAUUAUUAUAUUAUUUAUUUUCAAUGCUUUAUUUAUAAGGACGGUUGAGGAUGAUUUGCAGCGCCGUGCGUUGUAGCUGAAAUUAAAACUAAAUAAAAAAAGAGAGAAUUAUUUGUUGUAUUGUUGAGCUGCAAACCGGCGCGUCGUAUUUCUAGUCCCGGAUGAAUCAGUACCGUGCAGGAGUAAAACUUCAGCGCCGGGUUCUAACGGUGUUGCCGAUAGAGGGCGGGGCUAUGUACGAAGACGGUUAUAAUAAGACACUGCAGAAACGUUUUCCCUUCCGGAUGUUUUUCAGACGGAGGUGUGCUCGAGUGAAACGAGUCUCGGUCUCGGAGAACGCUGCGGAGUUUAAAUCUCAAGUCCGUAGUGGAGAGGUAGCUAGGAGGAAGGAGCAGCUAGCUCUGUCGCUGCAGACUACCUCUUUGUUUUUGCGUUUAUUUUUUAAAAUGUAUUUAUUUAUUUUUAGGGCUGUAUGAGGAGUGUGUCACACACACGACUGCGUAUUAAGGCGCAUAAGGUCGCUAUGAUUAUUCUCUCGCACUUGUGUUCAAAUAAAACGUUUGCUUGCCCUUUACAAGCUCCGAACGCGCCUUUGCUUCUUAGCGUAUUAUUAAUUUUCCUCUUCUGUACUUCUCACAUUUUCUGAACAGUUUCUUUUUUUAAUCUGUUGCAGUUAAAAUGUGUGUGUGUGUGUGUCUGCAAAGAGCGUGAUGGGAAAAGAUAACCCGUGAUGAAAAUAAACACAUCUCUUGCACCCCCUUGUGUUCUGGAGAAGGAAAUGCACUGGAUUUACUUUUGUUUAGUUUUUUGGGUUGUUGUUUGUGUUUUUUGUUGUUUUUACAUUUAAAUAACUAAAUACGUUUAAAUAAUCAAAAUUCACAACAGUUUAAUAAUAUUUAGUUUAUAGAUCAUGUGCUAUUUUUUAUUGUUAUGUUUAUUUGCAUGUAACUAGAAUGUUAGUGUUAUUUUCCUAAUUGUUUUGUUCUGCAUCGGGACCUGAAACGACUGCGGGUAUAUUUACAUGCGUCAUCUUUUCCAGACAUGUUUGUUCUUCAGUGUAUGUGGGAGGUGUGUGUGUGUGUGUGUGUGUGUGUGUGCAGGGGAGAGAGAGAGAGAGGGAGAAACGGGAGAGAGGGAGAAAGCGAGAAACGAGGGGGGGAGAAACAGCAGAGAGAGAGGGAGAAACGACAGAACGAGAGAGGGAGAAACGGCAGGGAGAGAGAGGGAGAAACGACAGACGAGAGAGGGAGAAACGGCAGAACGAGAGAGGGAGAAACGGCAGAACGAGAGAGGGAGAAACGGCAGAACGAGAGAGGGAGAAACGGCAGGGAGAGAGAGAGAGAGAGAGAGGAAGAGAGAA